AUGUGGAUCACAUGGGGAUCUUGUUAAGAUACAGAUUAUGAUUCAGUAAGGCCUGAAAGUCUGCGUUUUUAACAAGCUCCCAGCUGAUAUUGAU
rnacentral:pre_miRNA from 1 species